GACGAACGCUGGCGGCGUGCUUAACACAUGCAAGUCGAACGGAAAGGCCCUGCUUUUGUGGGGUGCUCGAGUGGCGAACGGGUGAGUAACACGUGAGUAACCUGCCCUUGACUUUGGGAUAACUUCAGGAAACUGGGGCUAAUACCGGAUAGGAGCUCCUGCUGCAUGGGGGGGGUUGGAAAGUUUCGGCGGUUGGGGAUGGACUCGCGGCUUAUCAGCUUGUUGGUGGGGUAGUGGCUUACCAAGGCUUUGACGGGUAGCCGGCCUGAGAGGGUGACCGGCCACAUUGGGACUGAGAUACGGCCCAGACUCCUACGGGGGGCAGCAGUGGGGAAUAUUGCACAAUGGGCGGAGGCCUGAUGCAGCAACGCCGCGUGCGGGAUGACGGCCUUCGGGUUGUAAACCGCUUUCGCCUGUGACGAAGCGUGAGUGACGGUAAUGGGUAAAGAAGCACCGGCUAACUACGU
rnacentral:rRNA from 1 species